CGGGACACGUGGUAUCCUGUCUGAAUAUGGGGGGACCAUCCUCCAAGGCUAAAUACUCCUGACUGACCGAUAGUGAACCAGUACCGUGAGGGAAAGGCGAAAAGAACCCCGGCGAGGGGAGUGAAAAAGAACCUGAAACCGUGUACGUACAAGCAGUGGGAGCACGCUUAGGCGUGUGACUGCGUACCUUUUGUAUAAUGGGUCAGCGACUUAUAUUCUGUAGCAAGGUUAACCGAAUAGGGGAGCCGAAGGGAAACCGAGUCUUAACUGGGCGUUAAGUUGCAGGGUAUAGACCCGAAACCCGGUGAUCUAGCCAUGGGCAGGUUGAAGGUUGGGUAACACUAACUGGAGGACCGAACCGACUAAUGUUGAAAAAUUAGCGGAUGACUUGUGGCUGGGGGUGAAAGGCCAAUCAAACCGGGAGAUAGCUGGUUCUCCCCGAAAGCUAUUUAGGUAGCGCCUCGUGAAUUCAUCUCCGGGGGUAGAGCACUGUUUCGGCAAGGGGGUCAUCCCGACUUACCAACCCGAUGCAAACUGCGAAUACCGGAGAAUGUUAUCACGGGAGACACACGGCGGGUGCUAACGUCCGUCGUGAAGAGGGAAACAACCCAGACCGCCAGCUAAGGUCCCAAAGUCAUGGUUAAGUGGGAAACGAUGUGGGAAGGCCCAGACAGCCAGGAUGUUGGCUUAGAAGCAGCCAUCAUUUAAAGAAAGCGUAAUAGCUCACUGGUCGAGUCGGCCUGCGCGGAAGAUGUAACGGGGCUAAACCAUGCACCGAAGCUGCGGCAGCGACGCUGAUGCGUUGUUGGGUAGGGGAGCGUUCUGUAAGCCUGUGAAGGUGUGCUGUGAGGCAUGCUGGAGGUAUCAGAAGUGCGAAUGCUGACAUAAGUAA
rnacentral:rRNA from 1 species